rnacentral:tRNA from 3 species
AGUUAAUAAGCCCCAAGCGCAUGUGUCUUGAAAACACAAAGUUAGAAGUUUAAUUCUUCUAUUAACUU